GCCUAAAGCGUCCGUAGCCGGCUAUGUUAGUUUUCGGUUAAAUCCAUGUGCUCAACACAUGGGCUGCCGAAAAUACUGUAUAGCUAGGGAGUGGGAGAGGUAGACGGUACUCGGUAGGAAGGGGUAAAAUCCUUUGAUCUAUCGAUGACCACCAGUGGCGAAGGCGGUCUACCAGAACACGUCCGACGGUGAGGGAUGAAAGCUGGGGGAGCAAACCGGAUUAGAUACCCGGGUAGUCCCAGCUGUAAACUAUGCAAACUCAGUGAUGCAUUGGCUUGUGGCCAAUGCAGUGCCGCAGAGAAGUCGUUAAGUUUGCCGCCUGGGAAGUACGUACGCAAGUAUGAAACUUAAAGGAAUUGGCGGGGGAGCACCACAAGGGGUGAAGCCUGCGGUUCAAUUGGAGUCAACGCCAGAAAUCUUACCCGGAGAGACAGCAGAAUGAAGGUCAAGCUGAAGACUUUACCAGACAAGCUGAGAAGUGGUGCAUGGCCGUCGCCAGCUCGUGCCGUGAGAUGUCCUGUUAAGUCAGGUAACGAGCGAGAUCCCUGCCUCUAGUUGCCACCAUUACUCUCAGGAGUAGUGGGGCAAAUUAGCGGGACUGCCGCAGUUAAUGCGGAGGAAGGAGGGGGCCACGGCAGGUCAGUAUGCCCCGAA
rnacentral:rRNA from 1 species